ACGGAAGGCAGCAGUGGGGAAUAUUGCACAAUGGGCGAAAGCCUGAUGUAGCGACGCCGCGUGAGUGAAGAAGUUAUUCGUAACGUAAAGCUCUAUCAGCAGGGAAGAAAAUGACGGUACCUGACUAAGAAGCCCCGGCUAACUACGUGCCAGCAGCCGCGGUAAUACGUAGGGGGCAAGCGUUAUCCGGAUUUACUGGGUGUAAAGGGCGCGUAGGCGGGGACGCAAGUCAGAUGUGAAAUCUAUGGGCUUAACCCAUAAACUGCAUUUGAAACUGUGUCUCUUGAGUGUCGGAGAGGUAGAUGGAAUUCCUAGUGUAGCGGUGAAAUGCGUAGAUAUUAGGAGGAACACCAGUGGCGAAGGCGAUCUACUGGACGAUAACUGACGCUGAGGCGCGAAAGCGUGGGGAGCAAACAGGAUUAGAUACCCUGGUA
rnacentral:rRNA from 1 species